CGUCCUUAGCGUGUGCAUAGAUUCUCGUAAGCAUGAACUUGGAGUCUAUACCUUACAAAAGUAUGGACUUUAAGUUCAUGCUCACGAAAUCCAAGCGCGUGCAAAGGCCG